GUACACAAAAAGACCAAUGCAUCCGGAGAUGACAAAGGGCUUGUCAAACAUGUGGCUGGAAGCCUCUGCUCAUGUAGGACCUGACACAAGCCAGUGGAUGGUGUAACUCUACAGAAGGAAAGACACCUGCUGGCUUUUAUUGAUGUGAAAAAUGGUGGGGACGCUGAUCUCGGCAUGUGAGGUGCUACCCAGGCAUCACCACAAAGAGAUGAGAAUAAAAAUGUAAUAGAUCCAUCCCUCUCAGGAACAGAAACCACACAUGGAUGGACGCAAAAAUUGCUGAAACAAAUGGUUAGACUUCCAUCCAGUCACUGAAUUGAAGAGGACAGAGCA